rnacentral:rRNA from 1 species
GAUGAACGCUGGCGGCGUGCUUAACACAUGCAAGUCGAGCGAGUGAGUUCUUCGGAACGAUCUAGCGGCGGACGGGUGAGUAACACGUGGGCAACCUGCCUCAUAGAGGGGAAUAGCCUCCCGAAAGGGAGAUUAAUACCGCAUAACAUCGUUGAAGGGCAUCCUUCGAUGAUCAAAGGAGCAAUCCGCUAUGAGAUGGGCCCGCGGCGCAUUAGCUAGUUGGUGAGGUAACGGCUCACCAAGGCGACGAUGCGUAGCCGACCUGAGAGGGUGAUCGGCCACAUUGGGACUGAGACACGGCCCAGACUACGACGGGAGGCAGCAGUGGGGAAUAUUGCACAAUGGGGGAAACCCUGAGGCAGCAACGCAGCGGGAGUGAUGACGGCCUUCGGGUUGUAAAGCUCUGUCUUUGGGGACGAUAAUGACGGUACCCAAGGAGGAAGUCACGGCUAACUACGUGCCAGCCGCCGCAGUAA